UAUCUCUCCGUACGGGGAAGGAUGAGAAGCUUCGACCAAGGUUCGAUUCGAGCGAAAGCGAGAAAGCGUUGCCGCAGGCAACGACCCGAAGGGCGAAGCGCGCAGCGCUGAGUCAUCCUUCCCCCACCACCA
rnacentral:sRNA from 9 species